AACGCACAUUGCGCCCUACGGCAUCCCGUAGGGCAUGCCUGUUCGAGCGUCAUUUUAGCACUAAUCAAGCCCCGUCUUGGUAUUGGCAGACAUCACCGGUAAAAUGGUGAAGCUGUUUAAAAUUUGCAGCGGUGGCAUGGCGCCUCAAGCGUAAUAAAUUCAACCUCGCUUCGGAGUUAUCCACGUCGCUCGCUUCCAAAAACAAAAACACCUUUAGCGUUGACCUCGGAUCAGGUAGGGAUACCCGCUGAACUUAA
rnacentral:misc_RNA from 1 species